UUUCCGUAGGUGAACCUGCGGAAGGGUCAUUGCAUCGAUCAACACCUUUCCACGCGAACUCCCGUCUCCCCGCGUGUCCUAUCAGCGGCGGUGUCCGACGACGCUUCCCGGUCUCCUUGACCGGGGAGCCGAGGAUGCAGCCCUUGGUGCGUGCGCCUGUUCCCGGUCGAUCAGGCUUCGGUCCGAUCGGCAAGGUCAGGCGGUGCCGUCCGUGGGACGAGGCUUUGUUGUUCUGAGCGGGCGACCGCUUGUGACUCGAGGCCGACGACUCUCCGCGGCUCCGGCUGGGACAAACCCCACACCGAUCCUUGACUGAAUACACCUGAAGCCGAGCGCUGUCUCGAUCGAACGACCGAGCAGCCUUCAAACCAAAGACAACUCUCAACAACGGAUAUCUUGGCUCCC
rnacentral:misc_RNA from 1 species